UACGGAGGGUGCAAGCAUUAAUCGGAUUUAUUGGGCGUAAAGGGCGCGUAGGCGGGGAAGUCAGUCAGAUGUGAAAGCCCAGGGCUCAACCCUGGAACAGCAUUUGAAACUACUUUUCUAGAGGGUAGGCGGAGAAAACAGAAUUCCACGUGUAGCGGUGAAAUGCGUAGAUAUGUGGAGGAAUACCGGUGGCGAAGGCGGUUUUCUAGCUUAUACCUGACGCUAAUGCGCGAAAGCAAGGGGAGCAAAC
rnacentral:rRNA from 1 species